rnacentral:lncRNA from 1 species
UUGCUUCAGCCUUUUCAAACUUCAGCCAAGGUCAUAAACAUCACCAAACCAGACAUGAAAAACAUGAAGGAACAACAGAAUGGAAGAGAUUGUAGGAACUAACAAAUCACUCAUAAACAUUCUUGGUACAAAUAGAGAUGGAGAAAGAUUGAGAAGCACUAGAAACACUAUCUCAACUAAGUGCAACAGGAAACUAAAAAAAAAAAAUUAAAAUAAAAUAAAAAGAAAGAAAAAGGAAAAGUAUAUU